rnacentral:rRNA from 1 species
AUAAAGUCACCAGGCGCAAGCUUGGUGAUGAAAGGGAGCCUCUGCAUAGCAAGCUCCUGCCUGGGGAGGGGCUCGCGGCCCAUCAGCUAGUUGGUGGGGUAACGGCCCACCAAGGCUAAGACGGGUAGCCGGCCUGAGAGGGUGGUCGGCCACACGGGCACUGAGACACGGGCCCGACUCCUACGGGAGGCAGCAAGGGGGAAUCUUGGGCAAUGGGCGAAAGCCUGACCCAGCGACGCCGCGUGGGGGAAGAAAGCCUUCGGGUCGUAAACCCCUGUUCUGGGGGAAGAACCCUGCCUUAGUGAAUAGCUAAGGCAGGCUGACGGUACCCCAGGAGAAAGCCACGGCUAACUGCGUGCCAGCAGCCGCGGUAAUACGCAGGUGGCAAGCGUUGCCCGGAAUCACUGGGCGUAAAGGGUGCGUAGGCGGCUGGGUAAGUCGCAGGUUAAAGCCCGGGGCUCAACCCUGGAAAGGCCUGCGAUACUGCCUGGCUUGAGGGCCGGAGAGGCUGGCGGAAUUCCCGGUGUAGGGGUGAAAUCCGUAGAUAUCGGGUGGAACACCGGUGGGGAAGCUGGCCAGCUGGACGGGCCCUGACGCUGAGGCACGAAAGCGUGGGGAGCAAACCGGAUUAGAUACCCGGGUAGUCCACGCCGUAAACGAUGGGUGCUAGGUUUGGGGAGGUAA